CAAACAUUUUUUAUAUGAACGAGUUUUCCGAUCGCCAGCCCGGCGGCGCUGACGCCGCCACCACCUCCGCCAGCCCCACCACCACAUCUGAGAAUUCCGUCAGAUGUGAAAAGAAAUCGCUAAAGUCCAUUAUUCCAAGGAUUUUUAGUUCGAAGAGAUCGAAUAGCAGAGAUAGUUUUUCAGAAGUAGAAGGCCUUCAAUCAGACGGAAAUAGUAAUGAAAAUGAAGCAGAUUAUAAUGUUACGUCAAGAACUAAAGCUUUUCUGGAGGAGUCAAACUUCAUCCAAAGAGGUAUCUCAG